rnacentral:rRNA from 1 species
GACAGAGGGUGCAAACGUUGUUCGGAAUUACUGGGCGUAAAGCGCGUGUAGGCGGCUCUGCAAGUCAGGGGUGAAAUCCCACGGCUCAACCAUGGAAGUGCACUUGAAACUGCAGGGCUAGAGUCCUGGAGAGGAAGGUGGAAUGCUUGGUGUAGAGGUGAAAUUCGUAGAUAUCAAGCGGAACACCGGUGGCGAAGGCGGCCUUCUGGACAAUGACUGACGCUAAAACACGAAAGCGUGGGGAGCAAACAGG